rfam:Zootermopsis nevadensis contig10915, whole genome shotgun sequence.
GCCACGGUGGUCUAGCGGUUAGAACGCUGGCCUUGUAAUCCUGGGGUCUCGGGUUCGAUUCCCGGUGUUGUCC